UGAUCGAUGAUGACUCCCACAAAAACAUUCCUUGGAAGUGGAACAAAAUGAGUGAAAACUCUAUAAAAAAAAAAAAAGAAAAAAAUAUGUUA
rnacentral:snoRNA from 1 species